AGAAACCAACAGGGAUUACCUCAGUAACGGCGAGUGAAGCGGUAACAGCUCAAAUUUGAAAUCGGGCCCCGCAGGGGCCCGAGUUGUAAUUUGGAGAAGAUGCUUUGGGGGCGGCCCCGGUCUAAGUUCCUUGGAACAGGACGUCAGAGAGGGUGAGAAUCCCGUACGUGACGGGGUGCCCGCGCCCGUGUAAAGCUCUUUCGACGAGUCGAGUUGUUUGGGAAUGCAGCUCAAAAUGGGUGGUAUAUUUCAUCUAAAGCUAAAUACGGGCCAGAGACCGAUAGCGCACAAGUAGAGUGAUCGAAAGAUGAAAAGCACUUUGGAAAGAGAGUUAAACAGUACGUGAAAUUGUUGAAAGGGAAGCGCUUGCACCCAGACUUGGGCGCGGCCGAUCACCCGGUGGUCGCACCGGGGCACUCGGGCGCGCGCAGGCCAGCAUCGGUUUGGGUGGUUGGAGAAAGGCUGGGGGAACGUGGCUCCCUUCGGGGAGUGUUACAGCCCUCGGUGCCAUGCAGCCUACCCAGACCGAGGACCGCGCUCCGGCUAGGAUGCUGGCGUAAUGGUUGCAAGCGACCCGUCUUGAAACACGGACCAAGGAGUCUAACAUCUGUGCGAGUGUUUGGGUGGCAAACCCAUGCGCGGAAUUAACGUGAACGGAGGUGAGAACCCUGCAGGGUGCAUCAUCGACCGAUCCUGAUGUCUUCGGAUGGAUUUGAGUAAGAGCACAGCUGUUGGGACCCGAAAGAUGGUGAACUAUGCCUAAAUAGGGUGAAGCCAGAGGAAACUCUGGUGGAGGCUCGCAGCGGUUCUGACGUGCAAAUCGAUCGUCAAAUUUGGGUAUAGGGGCGAAAGACUAAUCGAACCAUCUAGUAGCUGGUCUGC
rnacentral:rRNA from 1 species